rnacentral:rRNA from 1 species
CCUACGGGAGGCAGCAGUGGGGAAUAUUGCACAAUGGGCGCAAGCCUGAUGCAGCCAUGCCGCGUGUGUGAAGAAGGCCUUCGGGUUGUAAAGCACUUUCAGCGGGGAGGAAGGCGGUGAGGUUAAUAACCUCAUCGAUUGACGUUACCCGCAGAAGAAGCACCGGCUAACUCCGUGCCAGCAGCCGCGGUAAGACGGAGGGUGCAAGCGUUAAUCGGAAUUACUGGGCGUAAAGCGCACGCAGGCGGUCUGUCAAGUCGGAUGUGAAAUCCCCGGGCUCAACCUGGGAACUGCAUUCGAAACUGGCAGGCUAGAGUCUUGUAGAGGGGGGUAGAAUUCCAGGUGUAGCGGUGAAAUGCGUAGAGAUCUGGAGGAAUACCGGUGGCGAAGGCGGCCCCCUGGACAAAGACUGACGCUCAGGUGCGAAAGCGUGGGGAGCAAACAGGAUUAGAUACCCUUGUAGUC